UAGAGCUUGAAUUGGAACUGCUGAGUGAAUUAGGUAGUUUCAUGUUGUUGGGCCUGGGUUUCUGAACACAACAACAUUAAACCACCCGAUUCACGGCAGUUACUGCUCCUUGCUUAGCUG
rnacentral:precursor_RNA from 1 species